rnacentral:rRNA from 1 species
UACGAAGGGGCUAGCGUUGCUCGGAAUCACUGGGCGUAAAGGUGCGUAGGCGGGUCUUUAAGUCAGGGUGAAAUCCUGGAGCUCAACUCCAGAACUGCCUUGAUACUGGCGAUCUCGAGUUCGGGAGAGGUGAGUGGAACUGCGAGUGUAGAGGUGAAAUUCGUAGAUAUUCGCAAGAACACCAGUGGCGAAGGCGGCUCACUGGCCCGAUACUGACGCUGAGGUGGCGAAAGCGUGG